rnacentral:rRNA from 1 species
AGAUUGAACGCUGGCGGCAGGCCUAACACAUGCAAGUCGAGCGCGAAAGUUCCUUCGGGAAUGAGUAGAGCGGCGGACGGGUGAGUAACGCGUAGGAAUUUGCCCAGUAGUGGGGGACAACUCGGGGAAACUCGAGCUAAUACCGCAUACGCCCCAAGGGGGAAAGCAGGGGAUCUUCGGACCUUGCGCUAUUGGAUAAGCCUGCGUCGGAUUAGCUAGUUGGUGGGUAAGGCCUACCAAGGCAACGAUCCGUAGCUGGUCUGAGAGGAUGAUCAGCCACACUGGGACUGAGACACGGCCCAGACUCCUACGGGAGGCAGCAGUGGGAAUAGUUGGACAAUGGGGGCAACCCGUGAUCCAGCCAUGCCGCGUGUGUGAAGAAGGCCUUAGGGUUGUAAAGCACGUUCAGUGGGAAGAAAAGCGUGGACGCUAAUACGUCCGUCGGCCCUAGACGUUACCCACGAGAAGAA